AUUGGUGGUUAAAAUGAAGCUUUGACAGUUUAGCAACAGGUUUUGCACAAAUUAGCCAAAAAGACAGUGGUGCAGGACUUAGGGGUGUGCGAUAUAU